GGUCGCGUAGUACAACGGAUAGUAUGGGAGUCUCCGAAGCUCUUGAUCUAGGUUCGAUUCCUAGCGCGACCACUA
rnacentral:tRNA from 1 species